rnacentral:rRNA from 1 species
GGAUUGCUUAGUAGCGGCGAGUGAAGCGGCAAAAGCUCAAAUUUGAAAUCUGGCACUUUCAGUGUCCGAGUUGUAAUUUGAAGAAGGUAUCUUUGGGUCUGGCUCUUGUCUAUGUUUCUUGGAACAGAACGUCACAGAGGGUGAGAAUCCCGUGCGAUGAGAUGUCCCAGACCUAUGUAAAGUUCCUUCGAAGAGUCGAGUUGUUUGGGAAUGCAGCUCUAAGUGGGUGGUAAAUUCCAUCUAAAGCUAAAUAUUGGCGAGAGACCGAUAGCGAACAAGUACAGUGAUGGAAAGAUGAAAAGAACUUUG